GCCGGCUAGUGACAGUGAUUAGGGUGUCAGGUAGAGUAUCGGGUGGUGGCCGGCUAGUGACAGUGAUUAGGGUGUCAGGUAGAGUAUCGGGUGGUGGCCGGCUAGUGACAGUGAUUAGGGUAUCAGGUAGAGUAUCGGGUGGUGGCUGGCUAGUGACAGUGAUUAUGGUGUCAGGUAGAGUAUCGGGUAGUGGCCGGCUAGUGACAUUGAUUAGGGUAUCAGGUAGAGUAUCGGGUGGUAGCCGGCUAGUGAUGGCUGUUCAACAGUCUGAUGGCCUGG
ensembl:lncRNA